AGAUGGUGUGGUGAGAGGCCAGCUCUGGAGGAUGCUGGUGCUGCUUCUGCUCGUGGGGCCCGGCCCUGUGCUGGGUGCGCUCGUCUCUCAACACCCAAGCAGAGCCAUCUGCAAGAGCGGGGCCUCGGUGAAGAUACAGUGCCGCUCCACGGGCAUCCAGGCCUGGACGAUUCUGUGGUAUCACCAGCCCCCGAGACAGAGCUUCACUCUGAUUGCAACUUCUAACCAGGGUUCCAGCGUUACCUACGAGCAAGGCUUCACCAAGGCCAAGUUCCCCAUCAGCCACCCAAACCUCACAUUUUCAACACUGACAGUGACCAGUGGACAGGCCGAGGACAGCAGCCUCUACUUCUGUGGUGCCAGUGACACAGUGCUGCGCAGAGAUCAGGGACUUGAGCAAGAACCUCUACCUGGCCAACCCUUUCUGCUCCCCAUGGGUGUGUGGGCCCUGUGGAAGGCAGUGUGCAGGGUAGGAAACCACAGAUCCUUGAACUGA